AGCGAACGCUGGCGGCAGGCUUAACACAUGCAAGUCGAGCGCCCCGCAAGGGGAGCGGCAGACGGGUGAGUAACACGUGGGAACGUGCCCUUUGGUUCGGAACAACCCAGGGAAACUUGGGCUAAUACCGGAUACGUCCGUAAGGAGAAAGAUUUAUCGCCAAAGGAUCGGCCCGCGUCUGAUUAGCUAGUUGGUGGGGUAACGGCCCACCAAGGCUACGAUCAGUAGCUGGUCUGAGAGGAUGAUCAGCCACAUUGGGACUGAGACACGGCCCAAACUCCUACGGGAGGCAGCAGUGGGGAAUAUUGGACAAUGGGGGCAACCCUGAUCCAGCCAUGCCGCGUGAGUGAUGAAGGCCUUAGGGUUGUAAAGCUCUUUUAGCGGGGAAGAUAAUGACGGUACCCGCAGAAAAAGCCCCGGCUAACUUCGUGCCAGCAGCCGCCGUAAUAC
rnacentral:rRNA from 1 species